rnacentral:rRNA from 1 species
AGCAGCCGCGGUAAUUCCAGCUCCAAUAGCGUAUAUUAAAGUUGUUGCAGUUAAAAAGCUCGUAGUUGAAUUUCGGGAUCAAUAUGUUGGUCGUGCCUUGGUACGUACUGGCAUUAUCGAUUCCUACCUUCUGAAGAACCUCGAUGUCAUUAAUUUGGUGUCUUGGGGAAUCAGGACUGUUACUUUGAAAAAAUUAGAGUGUUUAAAGCAGGCUCGCGCUUGAAUACAUUAGCAUGGAAUAAUGAAAUAGGACGUUUGAUUCUAUUUUGUUGGUUUCUAGGAUCGACGUAAUGAUUAAUAGGGAUAGUUGGGGGCAUUAGUAUUCAAUUGUCAGAGGUGAAAUUCUUGGAUUUAUUGAAGACUAACUACUGCGAAAGCAUUUGCCAAGGAUGUUUUCAUUAAUCAAGAACGAAAGUUAGGGGAUCGAAGACGAUCAGAUACCGUCGUAGUCUUAACCAUAAACUAUGCCGACUA